CCAGGAGGGCUCAGCCCUACCAUGAAACGGAGCCCCCGUGGGAGAUUUCACGUGUAGGGAGGAACACUGAAUGAAGUUGCACAGAAAAAUCACAGCUUCCACGUGUCUGCAAAUUGCGAGGAUAGAGAAGGAGGAUCUGUCUUCAGUUCAGAUCCUCAGCAGAAUUUCAAUUUCCCCAAAUUUGGCACAAGGUCACAGUAGCUCCCCCAGGCCACUUUCUCCUGGGACCCAGCCAAUACACCGUGAGAAGCCCUGGGAGAUGCCAUGAGGAGGAGAACUAAGGCACUCUGGUCCCGCCCCAGCUCAGCUCUCCGCUAACAGCCAACUGGCAGCCCUGUGAGUGAGCCAUGGAAGAUGCUCCAGCCCAGGUGAGCCCACAUGGAGCAGAGAACAUCCCAGCUGAACCCAGUCAAGCCACAGACUUGUGUAGGACGCCUACCACAACAUGGUGUGCCAAGCAGUGCCAUGUCCACACCCGGGAUCUGAACCGGUGAACCCCGGGCCGCCGAGAAGCAGAACAUGCGAACUUAACCGCUGUGCCACAGGGCCAGCCCCUGACCAUUUUUAAGUAUACAGU
rnacentral:lncRNA from 1 species